rnacentral:rRNA from 1 species
CCCUAAUACAUGCCAAGGUCGAGCGGACAGAUGGGAGCUUGCUCCCUGAAGUCAGCGGCGGACGGGUGAGUAACACGUGGGCAACCUGCCUGUAAGACUGGGAUAACUUCGGGAAACCGGAGCUAAUACCGGAUAAUGCUUUUGGACUCAUGUCCUUAAGCUGAAAGAUGGUUUACGCUAUCACUUACAGAUGGGCCCGCGGCGCAUUAGCUAGUUGGUGAGGUAACGGCUCACCAAGGCAACGAUGCGUAGCCGACCUGAGAGGGUGAUCGGCCACACUGGGACUGAGACACGGCCCAGACUCCUACGGGAGGCAGCAGUAGGGAAUCUUCCGCAAUGGACGAAAGUCUGACGGAGCAACGCCGCGUGAGUGAUGAAGGUUUUCGGAUCGUAAAACUCUGUUGUUAGGGAAGAACAAGUAUCGGAGUAACUGCCGGUACCUUGACGGUACCUAACCAGAAAGCCACGGCUAACUACGUGCCAGCAGCCGCGGUAAUACGUAGGUGGCAAGCGUUGUCCGGAAUUAUUGGGCGUAAAGCGCGCGCAGGCGGUCCUUUAAGUCUGAUGUGAAAGCCCACGGCUCAACCGUGGAGGGUCAUUGGAAACUGGGGGACUUGAGUGCAGAAGAGGAGAGUGGAAUUCCACGUGUAGCGGUGAAAUGCGUAGAGAUGUGGAGGAACACCAGUGGCGAAGGCGACUCUCUGGUCUGUAACUGACGCUGAGGCGCGAAAGCGUGGGGAGCGAACAGGAUUAGAUACCCUGGUAGUCCACGCCGUAAACGAUGAGUGCUAAGUGUUAGAGGGUUUCCGCCCUUUAGUGCUGCAGCAAACGCAUUAAGCACUCCGCCUGGGGAGUACGGCCGCAAGGCUGAAACUCAAAGGAAUUGACGGGGGCCCGCACAAGCGGUGGAGCAUGUGGUUUAAUUCGAAGCAACGCGAAGAACCUUACCAGGUCUUGACAUCCUCUGACACUCCUAGAGAUAGGACGUUCCCCUUCGGGGGACAGAGUGACAGGUGGUGCAUGGUUGUCGUCAGCUCGUGUCGUGAGAUGUUGGGUUAAGUCCCGCAACGAGCGCAACCCUUGAUCUUAGUUGCCAGCAUUU